ACGGAAGGUCCGGGCGUUAUCCGGAUUUAUUGGGUUUAAAGGGAGCGUAGGCCGUCUGGUAAGCGUGUUGUGAAAUGUCGGGGCUCAACUUGGGCAUUGCAGCGCGAACUGUCAGACUUGAGUGCGCGGGAAGUAGGCGGAAUUCGUCGUGUAGCGGUGAAAUGCUUAGAUAUGACGAAGAACUCCGAUUGCGAAGGCAGCCUGCUGUAGCGCAACUGACGCUGAAGCUCGAAAGCGUGGGUAUCGAACAG
rnacentral:rRNA from 1 species